rnacentral:ncRNA from 2 species
AUAAAUAGUUUGAUUCUAGCUAAAUUAUUAGCUUAAAGAAUCCGUUACAUGCUUUAUGUUAAAUAUAAAAAUUGCAGUAACCAGAAUUUACAAAAAAAUAAAGAUUUUAUAGGAAUACUUAAUAUUAUUGAACACAAUCUGUGCCAGCAUUCGCGGUUAAACAGUUAAUAAAAUCUAAUAUAAUUGGUAAACUAAAUAAGAAAAUUAUAAUGUUUAAGUGAAAUUUAAAUUAUAAUAAAAUAAAUAGAAAAAUAAGUGAAAAUUAGAAAAUAAACUAGGAUUAGAUACCCUAUUAUACUAAAAGUAAAGAAUAAAUACCGAAUAAUAUUAAAUAAAUUCUUUAAAACUCAAAGAAUUUGGCGGUAAUUUAUCUGAUUAGAGGAACCUGUAAAAUAAAUUGAUAAACCACAAUAAACUUGACCUCAUAUACACUUGUAUACCUCUAUACAGGAUGUUUUAAUAGAAAUAUAUUUCCACUUUUUAAUUAAAAUAAGUUUAGGUCAAGGUGCAGUUUUUAUUAGGAAAAUAUGGGUUACAUUAAAAGUAAAAGAUAUUAGAAUAAAAUAGAAAUUAAAAAAUAAAUAAAGGAUUUAAAAGUAAUAAUAAAUAAUUAUUUAAUAUGAAAAAGAAAUAAAUUAUGCACAUAUUGCCCGUCACUCUCAAUAAAAUGAGAUAAGUCGUAACAAAGUAGCCCUACUGGAAAGUAGGGCUAGAAAGUUAG